rnacentral:rRNA from 1 species
CCGCGACCCCAGGUCAGGCGGGACUACCCGYUGAGUUUAA